ensembl:snoRNA SNORA73 Small nucleolar RNA SNORA73 family
CCAACGUGGAUACUCCCGAGUGAUCACUCUCCCCGGGCUCUGUCCAGGUGGCAUAGAGGAGCACAGGGCUCAGUGCCCCAUGAUGUACAGUCCUUUGCCACAACGUUGGAGAUCAAGCCAGGCCUUGAGUCUGCACCUGCAUAUUCCUACAGCUUUUCAGAGUCCCGUGGACAGUGACUGAGGAGACAAACCAUGCAGGGAACAGGU